rnacentral:misc_RNA from 1 species
AGGGUCGGAUUAAAAAUAAAACCAAAAAGUGCUGUAAUAAAUGCUUUACGUUAAUAUGAAUGUUAAUAUGUAUUGACGGGCCCCGGCACCGACUUGGGGUUGCAUUAAAAGCACUGUCAGCGUCAAGUUGUAAAGCUUGAUCAGAAUUACUUGCAUAGUAUUAAAAAAUGUACUGCGGUGACAAUGUUCCGUUGUUGAAAAAAACUUUGAUAACAAGAAAAAAUAAAGACGGAAGUAUAGAUGAUGGUCAUUGUCGCUUUACAUGCUGCAGUUUGAUGUGAUGCUAUGACUAGUCUGUGAGACUUGAUCUCCAGGACACUAAAAGAAAUUUUAAAUAAUUUCAAUCCAUACUAGCGACCUC